UAUGCAAUGAACUUAAAAUUCAUAUAUAAAGAUUAAUCUUUUUUUAGA
rnacentral:tRNA from 1 species